AUUGAACGCUGGCGGCAGGCCUAACACAUGCAAGUCGAGCGGAUGAGUGGAGCUUGCUCCAUGAUUCAGCGGCGGACGGGUGAGUAAUGCCUAGGAAUCUGCCUAUUAGUGGGGGACAACGUUUCGAAAGGAACGCUAAUACCGCAUACGUCCUACGGGAGAAAGCAGGGGACCUUCGGGCCUUGCGCUAAUAGAUGAGCCUAGGUCGGAUUAGCUAGUUGGUGAGGUAAUGGCUCACCAAGGCGACGAUCCAUAACUGGUCUGAGAGGAUGAUCAGUCACACUGGAACUGAGACACGGUCCAGACUCCUACGGGAGGCAGCAGUGGGGAAUAUUGGACAAUGGGCGAAAGCCUGAUCCAGCCAUGCCGCGUGUGUGAAGAAGGUCUUCGGAUUGUAAAGCACUUUAAGUUGGGAGGAAGGGUUGUACGUUAAUACCGUGCAAUUUUGACGUUACCGACAGAAUAAGCACCGGCUAACUCUGUGCCAGCCGCCGCGGUAA
rnacentral:rRNA from 1 species